UACGGAGGAUGCGAGCGUUAUCCGGAUUUAUUGGGUUUAAAGGGUACGUAGGUGGCCUGAUAAGUCAGUGGUGUAAACCUGUCGCUCAACGAUAGGCGUGCCAUUGAUACUGUUGGGCUUGAGUACAGAUGAGGUAGGCGGAAUGUGUAGUGUAGCGGUGAAAUGCAUAGAUAUUACACAGAACUCCGAUUGCGAAGGCAGCUUACUAAACUGACACUGACGCUGAGGUACGAAAGCGUGGGGAUCGAACAGGAUUAGAUACCCUGGUAGUCCACGCCGUAAACGAUGCUCACUGGCUGUAUGCGAUACACCGUAUGCGGCUAAGCGAAAGCGCUAAGUGAGCCACCUGGGGAGUACGCCGGCAACGGUGAA
rnacentral:rRNA from 1 species